GGAAAAUGUGAAAACUAGAAAAAAAGAUGUUUUGUCUACGCAUGAGACUUCACUUCUUGGGACAUCAUCGCAGUUGGAAUCACAAGAAAAUAUACAUAAUACACAUUCAACAAAUGUCCUAGAGAUCAAGUGUACUCUAUAUACUAUAAAUAUGAACAACUGUGUGGCUUAUGGUACAAUUCAUUUGUCAACGGGAAAACAAAGCAUUCAUGGAGUUCCACUACAAGAUAAUUGCUAUAGAUUUCUAUUGAUAAAGUUGUAAAAGAAGCAGCAUUUUUACCGGUAGAAUCAUGUGAGGUCAAAACAGUUGUGGAUGCACAAAAUACUUUUGUUGCUUGGCCAAAAUACCUUGUCAAAACUAGCCAAAAGAUACCAAAUCUAUCA